UGAUUAACAAGAGGGAACAAAAUUAAAAAGGAAUCAAACAUCAAUCAUGUAAUAAGAAUAAACCAAACAAAAAAAAAAGAGAAUAGAACAAAAAUGAAACAAAAAGGAGAAAAAAUUCUACGGGACCAACACCUAAUUGCGAAUAUUAAACAAACAUAGAAAGAAGGGUAAAGGUAAAAGAGAGAGAAGAAAAAAGAGAAGAUAAUUAAUGUAAAGAUGAUCCCUAAUUAAAGAGUAAUUCAAAUUUCGGUUAAUCAUGAUUGUUGUUUAAUUACUUUAAUUUAAUUAAUGGUGAUCGUUAUUAGUAUUUAAUUUAGUUUCUUUCUACUGACAUUGUAUAAUUUAAUUAAGUUACUUAGUUAAACAGGUUAAACCCUUCCGGCAACCAAAUUGUAAUAUCUUCUAAUUUUAAUUUUUCCAUUAAUUUUGGUGAUUUACUUUGGCUUUUUUUUUCUUGUUUUUCGCCAUUUUCAUCGGGCUUUUACUGUGUCUUAUCCCUAUCGCUUUUUUUUUAUUUACCUCUUGGUCUCUAACUUGCUUGAUUGUUGCAUUAAUCAUGAACCCAUCAGGUCAUUUAAAUUUAAUUGUUUUUGCUUCUCUCUCAGAGAGUAAAGUGUAUUCUUCAUGUUUUGUUGUUGUUUUUUCUUCUUCAUCUUAUAUUCUGUGUUCUGUGUCAAUCAUGAUCUCGAUCAUCAUCAUGAUUAUUAUUAUUAAAACAUAAUCAUCAUUAUCAUCAUCAUGCACCACAAUAAACACAACAAAAGAUACAACAUGAGAUGAUGCUCAUCAAUUGCUCAUUUCUCUAUAUAUCUUAUGGUUUUUCUUUUCUCUUUCUCUCCUUUUUUUUUCUACUCUUCUGUUGCAGAUCAUUAGAGUUGGAUUUCAAUUUCUAUCCAAGGAAACAAGUCAAUUAUAAAUUAACUCAACUUAAGCUUUUGUUAUAAUGGUUAUAAUUGUUUGGAGAAGCGAAAAAAAAACCGUAAUGUCGUUUGGUUGUGGUUUCAUGUUCCCUCUUCUUCUGAUUAAGAUAAGUGAGCUGAUUAUUUAAUUAAGUGUUUUAUAUUUAUUUGUUUUUUUCUUUCAUCUUAAUGUUUUAAUUUGGUUUUGGUUUUUUUUUCUCCUUCUCUUCAUUUCAACUUCAUUUCUUAUCUCUGCUUUAUUUAGAUGUAAAUUAAAGCAUGAUAAUGUUAAUGGUCUCUCUCUCUCUCUCUCUCAUACAUAAUAUCAAUUUAGAAUUGAUCAUGAAGAUGAUCCCUUAGCGCCCUGAUCAUAAUUAUAUGAUGAUGAUAAUAAUGAAUUAUAAAUUAUUUAAUCAAGUUUUAAAACGUGAAUCAAGUUUACACCAAUUUCAAAUUAUCUUUUAACUACUCUGGAAGCAUAGAAAACCAUCAGAAGAAAUCAAAGAUGCGAUAGAGAACCACAAGAGCUGAAUACAUUAUCAACAAGAAGAAAAAGAAGAAGAAAAAAAACAAUAAUAUUAAUAAUUAUCAAAAUUUUCUCUUUACAGUUGCUUGAUUUGUCACCAUUAAUAUCAAAAGGACGAGGAUGGUGGUAACUGUUACUCGUAUUAACGAGCAGAGGAAGUUGGACAAGAAGCGCAAUCACCAUCAUCAUCAACAGCGCGCAUAAAGAAAACGAAGCCCAUCUUACCUUGAAGAUGUCAACGGAAGUUAAAUAUUAAUUCCUUGUUUCGAUUCUCACAAUUUAAUUCAUUUCUCAUUGUCUUCUUCAUUAGCAUCAUUUUAUCAACACUUUUACGCUUAUUCCUCUCUCUCCCUCUUCCUCAUAAUCUUUCCCGCUAAUUGGAAUUACAUAGGCAGAAAAAAGAGACAAAUUAUCAACAAAAUUCACAUAGUUAAUUUCGUAGUUUAAAACAAUGAGAAAUUUGUUGAUCUGUGAUAAACAAAAAACGAAACGUAAUAAUAUGUUAACUUCCGUUAAUUAAGGUUAAAGAUGAACCUUAAUUUGAUGAUGAUGCUUCCUCUUAAUUAAUGCGACACACAGUUAUAGUUUCUAUCCACCCACCUACAUCCACCUUCCCCUCCCUCCUUCCGCCUCCCUCCUCCUCCUCCUACAACCUCUUAUACUACUAAUUGAUUGUGAGAUUCAAACUGACCGACAAUAAUAACCUCAAAAUCAGUAAUCCAGUAUAAAGAGUAAUCAUCACAAUUAAUAUCUUUGUUUUUUUUCCUCCACCAUCACGAUUAUCUUUUGUUUUAAAUAAUAUUUAAUAAUGAUAAUUUAGUUGGUGGAAAAAAAGAACAUUGAAUCAAUUAAAUCUAUAUAUUCCUUUCUAUAGAUCAUCUAUAAUAACAAUCAACGCUUUUUGGAACUAAAUUAACAGCAUUAAUUUCAUAUCAUGAUGAUAAAGAUGAUGAUCUUUACAUGGCUAAUCAAACAGUUUUACAAUCAACAAAAGAUAACUGACAAUCAAAGGAGAUUAAAAACAAGACUAAUGAUCAACCUGAUUAAAUCAACUUUCAUCUUCAUCACAAUCAAUCAUGAUGAAAACAAACAAGCUAACAGUUUUUAAGGAUCAUGGUUAAUUAUAAUCAAUUAAUCUUGUCAAUGAAAACUUUCACAACAACACCAACAACAAAUUGUAUCAUCAUCUUUAAAUUAGUUGUAUCAAUUUAUUCAAAUUUAAACUAAUCAAGGUAAUCGCUUAAUUUGCAGAUUUAUUGAGUAUUAUUAUUUCCUUGGAUCAACACACCACAACAACAACAACAACAACAUUAUGAGAAAUAAUAAUAUGAUGAUAAUGAAAAUCAAGAAACUUUUCCUGUUAAUUAUCGUUAGUUUAAAAAACGUGAUUCGAUGUUUUUUUUUGUCAAAAUUUAAAUUUUCAUGAAGAAAAGGAGCCCAAGAUAUUUGGAAGAUGAAACUUGGUAAUCAAACUCAAUUCAAGAUUCUCAUGAACUUAAAGAUUAUCAUUAUUAUUUCUCUCUUUCUCUCUCAUCUUCAUAAUGAUGAUUAUUAUAUUAAUACUAUUAUCAUUAUUAUUAUUUCAACGUGAUUCGGCCUGGAAAAAAAAGUGAAUCGAUAAUUGUGAUUACAAUGGGUAGACGACAACAAUCAAAGAUGAAAUAAUUAUCUUCUAAUCAAGAAGUUAUUGGAAAUUGCGGAUUAUGUAUCAUCAUCAUCAUCAUGAUUAUUAUCAAUUGUGAGAUGAACUUUUGAAUUGAUUUAGUGAAAUGCUAAUACCAAGAGGAUUAAAUUACAGGAUUGAAUUUAUUCAAUUAUUAUCAAUCUCUAUUUCUCUUUCUAUCAUAUUGUGGUCAAGAUGUUGAUUGAAAAAGUUUGAUUGGAAAGGAAAAGUUUUGGAUAAUCGAAAAGAAACUCGAAUCUUACCUGUUUUGGACAUUCCGACUUGGAUACAUUUUUUUAAGCGGCAACAUUUACACGAAGUCCGAUUUUUUUUGUUAAUUACACACUGAUUGUUGUUUUUACAAUCUCCAAUGGUCGAUGGAUUAUUAUAUGUCCUACCGAAAAAUGAUUUACAUCCUUCACAGGUAAAGGCACCAAAAUGGUAACCAGCCGCUGGUUCACCACAAACUUUACACAAUUGAUUCAUUUAAUCAAGUAAAUCAUGGAACCGGUUUCAUGCUUUUAUUAUAUCUUUUAGAUGGUCAAUCCAAGUUUUACUUUUCAAGGUUCACCCACUGGACCUGAUUAGACUUAUGAAUGACCAAAAUCUAAAUCUUGGUGCUUCAUGAUGAUAUUAUUACGCUUCCAUUGACGACCAGAUCCACUUUUCGUUAGUUAUUGCAUUUUGAUCGUUAAACUCUGGAAAUAUUGGUAAUAUAUUUUUAUAUUUUUCAUGUAAAAAAGGUAAACACUGAGUCAUCACCAUGAUACUCAUCAGAAUCAUCAUUUAAAAUGACGUAAGUUUAAUUUCUUAGCAACUCAAUGUUGUUAUUCAAAUGAUCAACCUGAUUAUUAACACAGAAAACGAUAUCAAAUGAUUAUAAACUAAACAAUUAAUUACUCGUAAUUUGAUUACAAAGUUAAUAGUCAAUCAAUCAGAUUGAUUGAUAUUAACAUAGAGAGAAAGAGAGUGAGAAAAAUAAAAGGCUUUUUCCUAAUCAGAAUUAAAUUAAAUGAUCUUUAUCAGGGUGAAACUCGCAAAAAGAAAUCGAGUCUAAAUUUAAUUGAGUUAAUUAAGUUUCGUGACAAUUAUUUCAUUCAUUGAAUGAUAAACAUAAAAAUGAUGCGAAAAAAAUGAAAUAACAGUUGGACCUUUUUUUUUAUUUUCCUCGAACUCUCUUUCUCUCAACAUUAUUAUUAUUACCAUUUCAAGGUUCAGAUUAAUCUGAGUACAUUUCAUUUUCUAUUUUCUACUUUUUUUUCUCAAUCAUCAUGAUCUCAUGUUUUAUCGGUGUUUCCCCGAACCCAAAGUCCGUUGGAACAUGCAAAACCAUUGAACAGAGAGAAAAAGAAAGGUAAGAAAAUAAUAGUAACGAAAAGGAUCCUUCGUUAGUUACCAUGGUCAAUAAUAAUGAUAACGAAAAGAAAAUCAGGUUGGCAUGAAUUUCUUUCUUUCUUUCUUUCUUUCUCUCUCUCUCUCUCUCUCUCUCUCUUCAUCUUCCAACUAUGAUUCCAUAUCAAGGUCGCUGGUAAAAGUUGUUGUUAUUUUCUUUUCCAGGUAAGAAAGAGAGAAAGUGGAAGAGGGAAGAGGAUGCAAGAAAGAGAAAGAAAGAGAAAGAGUAACGUGCCAAUCUGAUUUCUUCUUCUUUUUGAGUUACAGAAUUUACAGAAUUUCCUUGAACAUUUUUUUACCUUUUCUUUUUCUCUGCCAUGUAAUAAAAGACAUAGAACAAGAGAGAGAGAAAGAAAGAGAGAGACGGUUUGUUUUCUUUAUUAAAUUGAACAGAAACAUUGUCAUAGUUGGUUAAUCACCUUAACUCAUAAUAAUCAUGACAAUGACGGUGAUGAUAAACUUACAUGGUAAUGAGUUAACUCAUCGUUCCAGUUUCAUGGUUGACAUAUUUUGCUCACUCAGUUGACACGAUGUCUUAUUAGACUCUAUUCAUCACUCUAACAACCACUCCCAUCAUAACCACUGGUAACAUAUUACCCUAGUUAGACAAAGUUAAUUAUCAUCAUUUGUCAUCAUUCAUUGAGAUCAUGUUAACAAGACAAAACUUAACAAGGGUCAAUCUCAAUUCUGUAUCGGUCAUUUCACUUUUAUUUGACCAAUCAAAAUAAGGAAAUGAAAACAUUGAAAAAGAAAAACUUUUCUCUCUCUCAAUCUUCAGGUAAUAAUAACAUUAUGUCAUCUUGAUGUUUACCUGAAAAUUUAAUCAAAUAAAUUGAAUGAAUUCAAUAUCAUCUUAUAAUCUUGAUAAGCCUAAUUGGGUCAAGGUUGAUUCAUCUUCAUUCUUGAUUGUGAUUAAAUUUACAUUUAAGUUAAUUAAUUCAAUCGCCAAAUAAUCAACUUUCACUUUCACAAUUCAAACUGAUUCGUUUUCUUUUUUUUCUAAAUUGAAUCUUAAUUAGUUAAUUAUUAAUUUUCUUUCUCUCAAUUCUGAAGGCCCAAGUUAAUCAAUGAAGAAAAUAUUAUUAUUAAAUUGAGUUACUAAUUAAAGAUUUAACAAUUAACCAGAAACAAUGCUAAUCAGUGAGCACAAAAAUAGUUAAAAAGGUUAACCAACAAUCAAUUUUAAUAUCGAUUGUUAUUAUUACCACAAUUAUUGAUCAAUAACAAUUAAAAUUACUUUUCCCAUUGAACAAUUAAUUGAUUACGAACUGAAUGAAUCUAUGUUUUUUUGUUUCAUAUCAAAUAGUCAAGUUAAUCAGUUUAAAAUUGAUUGUUAAUUGUAAUCAAAUAAUUACAAUUAACGAAAAGCUUGUAGCUCAAUUCAAGGACCAAUUUUUAAUUAUAAUCACAACUAUUUCAAAUUCAAUAGUAAAUUCAAACAACAAUUAAAUGGUAAAUAAUAUUAACACUGUUUAAUAGUGAUUUAGGAAAUAUAUAUUAAUAUGUAUAAGAAGUAAAAAAAAAUUAUAUCUAAAUCAAAUUAAAUUUUAAUAACGAAAACAAUUAACGUAUUAACCUAUUGAAACGACAUUGUUCAAUUAAGGAAGUUUGUAAUUCAAUGAUUUAAUGAAUGAAUCAAUUGUUAAUCAACACUCCAACAAUUAAUAAUGAUAACUUUCUAGUUGAGAUGUUAAUUUUAUUUAAUUGUAAUUAACGAUCAGUGAAAAACCAGAACAAGAAGUAAGAACAACGAGAGAAAAGAAAAUUAUUAUUUCUCUUUUUUUUUCAAGAUCAUUCAGAAUUCAUGGUGAACCGAUUAACUCGUAAACGAGCACGCGAUGUUUUCACAGCUUCCAGCACGUUACAACUUUGGCAAUUUCGUAUGUAUACACAUCUGAAGGAAAGAGAAAUUAAUCUCUUUCUUUUUUGUUGAGUCGAAAAAAUGUUCAAAUUCGAGAAAAUUGUCAUUGGAAUAAUUUAUAUAUAAUUAGAAUGGAGCAUUUUCCGUCUUUCCCUUUUUCUCGUCAGAACUUUUCGUUUGUUCGUUAGUUGGUUCAUUCGAUUCAUUUCUCUCAUGCAUCUUAAGAAUAUUA